rnacentral:rRNA from 1 species
UGUAUGGUUAAGUGACUAAGCGUACACGGUGGAUGCCUGGGCAGUCAGAGGCGAUGAAGGACGUACUAACUUGCGAUAAGCGCAGAUAAGGCAGUAAGAGCCGUUUGAGUCUGCGAUUUCCGAAUGGGGAAACCCAACUGCAUAAGCAGUUACUGUUAACUGAAUACAUAGGUUAACAGAGCAAACCGGGGGAACUGAAACAUCUAAGUACCCCGAGGAGAAGAAAUCAACCGAGAUUCCGGUAGUAGCGGCGAGCGAACCUGGAUUAGCCCUUAAGCACUCGGUGAAGUAGGUGAACAAGCUGGAAAGCUUGGCGAUACAGGGUGAUAGCCCCGUAACCGACGCUUCAUCGAGCGUGAAAUCGAGUAGGGCGGGACACGUGAUAUCCUGUCUGAAUAUGGGGGGACCAUCCUCCAAGGCUAAAUACUCCUGACUGACCGAUAGUGAACCAGUACCGUGAGGGAAAGGCGAAAAGAACCCCUGUGAGGGGAGUGAAAUAGAACCUGAAACCGUGUACGUACAAGCAGUAGGAGCACCUUCGUGGUGUGACUGCGUACCUUUUGUAUAAUGGGUCAGCGACUUAUAUUCAGUGGCAAGGUUAACCGUAUAGGGGAGCCGUAGCGAAAGCGAGUCUUAACUGGGCGCUCAGUCUCUGGAUAUAGACCCGAAACCGGGUGAUCUAGCCAUGGGCAGGUUGAAGGUUGAGUAACAUCAACUGGAGGACCGAACCGACUAAUGUUGAAAAAUUAGCGGAUGACUUGUGGCUAGGGGUGAAAGGCCAAUCAAACUCGGAGAUAGCUGGUUCUCCCCGAAAGCUAUUUAGGUAGCGCCUCGGACGAAUACUACUGGGGGUAGAGCACUGUUAAGGCUAGGGGGUCAUCCCGACUUACCAACCCUUUGCAAACUCCGAAUACCAGUAAGUACUAUCCGGGAGACACACGGCGGGUGCUAACGUCCGUCGUGGAGAGGGAAACAACCCAGACCGCCAGCUAAGGUCCCAAAGUAUUGCUAAGUGGGAAACGAUGUGGGAAGGCUCAGACAGCUAGGAUGUUGGCUUAGAAGCAGCCAUCAUUUAAAGAAAGCGUAAUAGCUCACUAGUCGAGUCGGCCUGCGCGGAAGAUGUAACGGGGCUAAGCAAUACACCGAAGCUGCGGCAAUGUCUUUUAGACAUUGGGUAGGG